rnacentral:lncRNA from 1 species
UGGCCAUUUUCUCUAUAGCUAUUUCCAUGGCAUCCUUUGACAAUGGCACAUGGCAGCUAUAAAGUUGUCCAACCAAAAAUAGUAUGAUAAUAACUACAUGAUGUCCUAUCAGGCAUGCUAUAAGGGUUGUUCUUUCCAUCCUGUCUAAAUGUGUCACAUGGCCUUUUGGCAGAGUCCCAUCUCGAUGUAGCAGAGAAGAGUAAAGACAAGCAAGAU